CCGAGAGUAGCUCAGCAGUCAGAGCAGAAGACUUCUAGGCGCUUCAAGCCAUCUCUUGGUCCCCGAUUCAAGUCUGGGUUCUCGGA